GGGCCCAUAGCUCAGUCUGGUAGAGCACUUGACAAGAGAUCAAGGGGUCCAGGGUUCGAAUAGUGCCUAGCGAGCGACGCUAGCGCAUCGCAAGUCCCUGUGGGCCCA
rnacentral:tRNA from 1 species